AACGAACGCUGGCGGCAGGCUUAACACAUGCAAGUCGAGCGCCCCGCAAGGGGAGCGGCAGACGGGUGAGUAACGCGUGGGAAUCUACCCAUCUCUACGGAAUAACGCAUGGAAACGUGUGCUAAUACCGUAUACGUCCUUCGGGAGAAAGAUGUAUCGGAGAUGGAUGAGCCCGCGUUGGAUUAGCUAGUUGGUGGGGUAAAGGCCUACCAAGGCGACGAUCCAUAGCUGGUCUGAGAGGAUGAUCAGCCACACUGGGACUGAGACACGGCCCAGACUCCUACGGGAGGCAGCAGUGGGGAAUAUUGGACAAUGGGCGCAAGCCUGAUCCAGCCAUGCCGCGUGAGUGAUGAAGGCCCUAGGGUUGUAAAGCUCUCUCACCGGUGAAGAUAAUGACGGUAACCGGAGAAGAAGCCCCGGCUAACUUCGUGCCAGCCGCCGCAGUAACAC
rnacentral:rRNA from 1 species